GUAAGUAUACCUCCCCAGUAUCCCUGCUAUAAUCUCCAAUGCUGUAUUUCUAUAAGAUGAACAAAAAGGAAAUCACUACCAAAUUAAGAAACAGUGCAUUGCCAUGAAGAUGUCAUUACUGUUGAAGCAUUUUCAAGCACUCCAAAUACACAGAGAAGAUAUCAGAGAAUUUCUUUUUCUUUGCAAGAGUUAGAAGGCAUUUGAUCAUAACUGCUGAAAUUUCCUGCUCCAGAUCCAGCUGACCAGGAUGACUACAGGUUUUGUCCCACUCACAGAAACUCCUGAAGAAAACCACCACGUACCCCACAUCUACCACGUCAGUACUCCAGGAAGGGAAGAAGCAAUUUGAUCUAU